rnacentral:rRNA from 1 species
AUUGAACGCUGGCGGCAGGCCUAACACAUGCAAGUCGAGCGGAUGAAGGGAGCUUGCUCCUGGAUUCAGUGGCGGACGGGUGAGUAAUGCCUAGGAAUCUGCCUGGUAGUGGGGGAUAACGUCCGGAAACGGGCGCUAAUACCGCAUACGUCCUGAGGGAGAAAGUGGGGGAUCUUCGGACCUCACGCUAUCAGAUGAGCCUAGGUCGGAUUAGCUAGUUGGUGGGGUAAAGGCCUACCAAGGCGACGAUCCGUAACUGGUCUGAGAGGAUGAUCAGUCACACUGGAGCUGAGACACGGUCCAGACUCCUACGGGAGGCAGCAGUGGGGAAUAUUGGACAAUGGGCGAAAGCCUGAUCCAGCCAUGCCGCGUGUGUGAAGAAGGUCUUCGGAUUGUAAAGCACUUUAAGUUGGGAGGAAGGGCAGUAAGUUAAUACCUUGCUGUUUUGACGUUACCAACAGAAUAAGCACCGGCUAACUUCGUG